rnacentral:misc_RNA from 1 species
UUUGGUCCGUAUCAGGAUGAUGGACAUGUCAUGACAUUGCGUACUGUAAUAGACCUGAUCCCAAACAAGAGUACUCGCAUACUGGACUUCGCUGCAUCAACUGGACUCUUUGGAAAGCUUCUUCACGACAACGGCUACACUAACAUUGAUGCUUUUGAUGGAAGUUCAGUCUGUAUGGAACAAGCCAGAAAACGAAACGUCUAUAAAAAUUUUAUUGUUGAAUUUGUAAGCGAUGCUAGAUUAAGCAUUGAUGAUGAUUCAUAUGAUGCUCUUAUUUGCUACGGAGGCAUGGCGAAAAAUCACUUACCCAUCUCAGUGUUUUCAGAGUGGAUUCGAUGUGUGAAACCAGGUGGCUACAUCAUUAAUGCAUUUCGUAUGAAAUGGUUGAAAGAUGCACCAACUUAUAGCAAAGGAAAACUGGAAGCUGAAAUAGAAAGAUUGGAAAAGGAGAAGAAAUGGAAAUUUAUCAGGAGAGAAAUGACCAAUGAUGAAGACCCUGAUAAAGUUGUUAUAAAAUUUGCUCAUCAAGUUUGUUAAUAAUACAGAUACUGUAUAAUGAAUUGCAUGAUAAUGUGUGUGAUAAUAAUGGAUUAUCUGAUGAUGUGUGUGAUCAAAUUAAAAUUUCUAGUUUAAAGCCCCGUUUACACUAGAUAUGAUUACGACAUGAUACAGAUGUACGCAGUGUUGAAGAAUACAGACUAAAGGAUGAUAUGUCGUCGUGUCAUAAUCGUGUCUAGUGUAAAUGGAGCUUUAUAGAAAUCUUGAAUGACAAAAGUUGUUUAAUAUAAAGAAAAGCUAAUAUCAAUCACCUGAGGAAUCAAAUGGGCUACCCUUAAAGUGGUUUUCAUACACACUGGUAAUUAAUCAUAUCCGACUUUGUAUGAAGUAGAUACUAUUUUAUUGAGUUCAUGUACCUAUGCUACAAAAAUUGCAAUAAUUAAACAAAUACAACUCAGGAUCAGUAAUAAGCAAUACAAGGGAAAAGCCAAGAGCAAGCUCAACCAGUUGAUGAUAAGAUUUUUGAUAAUAUAAUUUGUGUAUACAUCAGUAAUAAAAUCGGCUACCCUUGAGGUGGUUUCCAGUGGUGGAUUCAAGUGGGGGGGGGAA